CCUACGGGUGGCAGCAGUGAGGAAUAUUGGUCAAUGGCCGAGAGGCUGAACCAGCCAAGUCGCGUGAGGGAAGACGGCCCUACGGGUUGUAAACCUCUUUUGUCGGGGAGCAAAGCGAACCACGUGUGGUUCAUUGAGAGUACCCGAGAAAAAAUCAUCGCUUAACUCCGUCCCAGCACCGUCGGUAAAAGGGGGGAUGCGGGCGUAAUCGGGAUUUAUUGGGUUUAAGGGUUGCGCAGGCGGAGGUGCAAGUCAGCGGUCAAAUUGCGGGGCUCAACCCCGUACUGCCGUUGAAACUGCAUCCCUUGAGUGCGCGAGAAGUAUGCGGAAUGCGUGGUGUAGCGGUGAAAUGCAUAGAUAUCACGCAGAACUCCGAUUGCGAAGGCAGCAUACCGGCGCGCAACUGACGCUCAUGCACGAAAGCGUGGGUAUCGAACAGGAUUAGAUACCCUGGUAGUC
rnacentral:rRNA from 1 species